AUACUUAUCUGGCUGGGAGAUAUUAUGAUCAAGAAAGUGGUUUUCCAGGAUGAGGAUGUACUGACCCCAGGAUUUCCCCAAAUACAGGAUACUUGACUGUAUAAUUUGUGGUAGUAGGGGACUACAAUGGCCCUCUCCCCUG
rnacentral:snRNA from 1 species